AUGGGGAGCGCAGCAGCGGACGCGCUAUUGCCACUGGACCCCGAGACGUUCGCCGCCGAAUCGCACGCCGUGGUCGACUUCCUCGACGGGUACUACCGCAACAUCCAGAGCUACCCUGUCCGGCCUGAUGCCGAGCUAGGGCGCCUCCGGACGCUUCUACCCGACGCGGCCCCCGAGGAUGGCGAGCCGGUGGACGUAGUACUGGAGGACGUGCGGCGGCACAUUGUCCCGGGGUUGAUGCACUGGCAGAGCCCCAGCUUCUUUGCAUACUAUCCAAUGAACGCGAGCACGGCCGGGUUCGCCGGUGAGAUGCUCUCCGCCGGCCUCAACGUGGUGCCGUUCGCGUGGGCUGCCUCGCCGGCUGCAACCGAGCUCGAGGCCGUCGUGGUGGACUGGAUGGCGAAGCUGGUGGGCCUCCCGGAACGCUUCCUCUUCUCUGGUGGCGGCGGGGGCGUGCUGCAAGGGAGCACCUGCGAGGCCGUGGUGUGCACGCUCGUAGCCGCGCGCGAUCGCGCGCUGAUCAUGCUCGGUGGCCAUGAGGGCAUCCUGCGGCUGGUGGUCUAUGCCUCCGAUCAGAGCCACUCCACUUUCCAGAAGGGCGCGAGGAUCGUAGGGAUCCCACCGGCCAACUUCCGCGUCAUCCAGACAUCGGCGGCGUCGAGUUACGGCCUCACCGCGGACAGUGUCCGCCGCGCUGUGGAUGCUGACGUGGCCAGCGGGCUUGUGCCGUUGUACCUGUGUGCCACUGUCGGCACGACCGGGCUUGGCGCCGUCGAUCCACUGCGCGAGCUGGGCGAGGUGGCCAGACGAUACGACAUGUGGUUACAUGUCGACGCCGCGCACGCAGGUAGCUCUCUGAUCUGCCGCGAGUUCCAGGAUUGCCUUGACGGCGCCGAGCUUGCAGACUCCGUGAGCAUGAACCCGCACAAGUGGUUCCUCACCAACAUGGAGUGCUGCUGCCUGUGGGUGGCGAGCCCGGCCGCACUUACAUCCGCACUCUCCAGCAACCCAGAAUACCUCAACAACAUCAGCACCGAAAAUGCAGCAGCAAUGGACAUGGUCGACUACAAGGACUGGCAGAUCGCAUUAUCGCGCCCUUUCCGCGCCAUGAAGCUGUGGGUGGUCUUGCGCCGCUACGGCGCUGUGGCCAUGCGAGCAUACAUACGGAGACACAUCGAUAUGGCCAGGUGGUUCGAGCUGGAGCUGGAGGCCGACGAGAGGUUCGAGGUGGUCGUGCCAAGGAGGUUCUCCCUCGUGGCGUUCCGCCUCCGCCCAAGGCACGAGGGCGACGACGUGGAGGCCUUGAACCGCAGGCUACUCAUGGCCAUCAACUCCAGUACUGGGCGGGCCUUCCUGACACACUUUGUCGUGGAUAACAAGUUCAUUAUCCGUCUGGCCGUGGGCGGGGCCAUGACGGAGAUGCAACACGUCCGGGCUGGAUGGGUGCUUGUUCAGGAGAAGGCAAAGGAAGUAGGCGCCACUCCGGGGCGUUACUAA
rnacentral:rRNA from 1 species